GUGGGGAAUAUUGCACAAUGGGGGAAACCCUGAUGCAGCGACGCCGCGUGAACGAAGAAGUAUUUCGGUAUGUAAAGUUCUAUCAGCAGGGAAGAUAAUGACGGUACCUGACUAAGAAGCACCGGCUAAAUACGUGCCAGCAGCCGCGGUAAUACGUAUGGUGCAAGCGUUAUCCGGAUUUACUGGGUGUAAAGGGAGCGCAGGCGGUGCGGCAAGUCUGAUGUGAAAGCCCGGGGCUCAACCCCGGUACUGCAUUGGAAACUGUCGUACUAGAGUGUCGGAGGGGUAAGUGGAAUUCCUAGUGUAGCGGUGAAAUGCGUAGAUAUUAGGAGGAACACCAGUGGCGAAGGCGGCUUACUGGACGAUAACUGACGCUGAGGCUCGAAAGCGUGGGGAGCAAACAGGAUUAGAAACCCUAGUAGUCC
rnacentral:rRNA from 1 species